AGAGAGAAUCUCAUGCGGGUGUGGAGCCUGAUGCGGGACUCGAUCCCACAACCCUGGGAUCAUGACCUGAGCCGAAACCAAGAGUCGGACGCUCUACCGACUGAGCCACCCAGGCGCCCUCCAAGUUUUCUAAAAGUAUAAACGUUCCAGGCCGUCAUCCUCUCUCGUGGCACUCGUUUGGCCACAUUCCAUGUUUUGAUGUGUAAUAUUUUCAUUUUGGUUGAAAUCUAAGUAUUGUCUUAGUUUCUGUUACCACUUAUUCUUUGGCCCAUGAGUGAUCUGUAAUUAGAUUUUAAAACCAUGGGAUGUGGAUAUAUUUUUCUAGAGGUAUAAUUACUCCUAGCGAAAUGCAUAAACCUUAAGUGUACAGCUGGAGGAGUCUGACAGGUUCGUACGUAUGUUCAUGUCACCAACCCACCAUUCAAGGUAUACAACAUUUCUGUCAUUCUGGAAAGUUCCUGCAUGUGUAUGGGUGUUUUGUUUUGUUUUGUUUUUUUUUUUAGUUGCCUUUUUGUUGUUGGUUUUUAAUUUAAUUACAUUGUGAGCAGAAAAUGUGGUCUUUAUGUUAUUGAAUAUUGGGUAUCUGUUUUGUUUUUAACGUGGCAUAUCCUGCUAGUUGCCUAUCAAAAUUGCCCCUUGUUCCUUAAAAAACAACUUAGGUUUUUCUUGUUCAGGUUGGUACAAUGAGCUCUUGAAAAACCCCGUACCUCCCAGCCUCCUCCUUGCAGCUAGGGGACGCCACGGCCCCCCCCAGUCCCGGCCAUUCUAAGUAUGAGAAGUCAUUGGGUGUGAUUCCGGGGAAGGAUGUUGCAAAGGAACAUUUAGCCAGAUCCCUCCACUUCUUGGCCUUUGUACAAACAGACAUGAUGCCCAGUGCUCGAGAAGCCAUCCCACGGCCAUGAGGGUAAAGGCUGCAGCUGAAGAGAGUGUAGCCAGACCUCACGACCAUCCUGGCUCCCCGGCUGGUAUCUUUGUGUGGCUGUCCCGGACUGUUUGUUUCUGGAUAUCUUGUUACAUGGAAAAGGUAUUGGUCUCUAUCUUCGUCUGUUCGGGCCGCAUAACAAAAAUACCAUAGACUGGAUGGCUUAUAAACAGCAGAACUUUCUUCUCAGAGUUCUGGAGGCUGGAGUCUGAGAUCGGGAUGCUGGCAGAUUUGAUGUCUGGUGAGGCCUGCUUCGUGGUUCGUAGAUGGCUGUCUUCUUGCCUGUGUCCUCCUCACAUGGCAGAAAGAGAGCAAGGGAGCUCGUGGGGGUGUCUCUUAUAAAGGCACCAGUCCCAUUCCUGAGGGCUGCACCCUUUUGAUCUCAUCACCUCCCUCCUUAUACCAUCACAGGGUGGGAAUCAGGCUUCAGAAUGUGAAUGGAGGGUGGGGCACAGACAUGAAUUAUUCAGUCCCUGUCCGUAUCCCGUAUCCGUCUUUGAUCUGUUAACCAGAAGAGCUAUGUUAAACUCUCCCACCAUGGUUGCUGAAUAAAUCUUGUAAUGCUGUCAGUUUUGAAAUUUAUAUAUUUUGAAGCAGUCAAAUUAAAUGAGAAGGUUUUUAUAUUUUA